AUGGCUAAUUUGAAGAGUUUCAAUGGAUGGAGACUCUGGUGAAAAGUCCCACUGGAUGGGGACUCUGCUGAAGAGUCCCACUGAUCGGAGACUCUAGAGAAGAGUCCCAUUAGAUUUGGACUCUAUCAUUAAUAGAGAAUUAAUUAAUAAUUAGAUUACUAAUUAGCUCAAUUUGAUUGAGUAUUAAAAUUGGGAUCAAGUUUGAUUGAAUUAGAUUCAUAUAGGUCA
rnacentral:lncRNA from 1 species